UUGGCGCGGCCUUUGUCUCUGGCUCAGGCCGGAGCCUGAGAUCCAUCUCUACUGUCCCGCGUGUUGCCCCUCGGGAGCACUAGGUGACUUUGUCACAUCCUCUGUUGCCCUGAGAUCUGGAGGUACUGGGAAAUGCAUAGCUAAGAUGCCAGGACAUCCUGGAAACCAGGAAAUGUUUGUCUGCAUCUUGUUAUUGGGCCACAAGAACACACAGCCAGACCCAGUUUGGUCCAGGAACAACAUCUGGCAAGCUAGCCAAGAGUCACUGAAAUGGUGCUGCACUCAGUGGCCCGUGAUUGUGGCGAGAUGGUCAUUUGGAGACUCCCAGAAGCUGCUGGAUAAGAUUGUCCUGGGGACUCUCCCAGGGGCUAUUCCAUGUGCAAAAACCACAUGUCCCUCUCACCACUGGGGAAGAAUGGUGAUCAGGCAGGAGUGGAUGCACUCAAAGGGAAAAGUCUUUCUCUAGGACCUGGAAAUGAUUGCUCGGAAAUGUAAACAGCAAAAAAGUUAGAGCCCUAUCGCACAGCUUGCUCCAAGUUUCAAAAUUACCUUCUGUCCCUCCUGGACUUGGGACCAUUAUUUUUCCUUCAGAUAUGCCAGUCAGCAACCACAGAUGGCCUCCCCAAUUACCAGCUCACCUGCUGCUGUGUAAGACAUGCCUACUUCUGCUUUCACCAUGAUUACAAGUUUCCUGAGACCUCCCCAGCCAUGCAGAACCGUAAGUCAAUUAAACCUCCUUUGUUUACAAAUUACCCAGUCUUGGUUAGUAUUUUUAUAACAUUGUGGGAAUGGACUAAUACUGUCUGUUUUGUUAAAAGACUAAGUUUCAAUUGGGAGCCAAGAUGACUGACUAGACACAGCCAGGGGAAACAACUGACAAGACACUGAGACAUUGAAAUUUCCAUCCCAUUCUGAGCCUAUCUUCAGAUGAAAUGCAUUGCAAGUGGGCAGAGGGAGGACACAGAUGCUGGAAACCCUUCAUGGUGUACCAAGUACUAGGAACUUAAGUCCACUUUUUCUGAGCCCUGCAAAACAUCAGAACUUGCUCAGGGAUUGCCAUCAUUGUGAUCUAGACUG
rnacentral:lncRNA from 1 species